UUCGGCUGAGAACUCUAGGGAGACUGCCGGUGACAAACCGGAGGAAGGUGGGGAUGACGUCAGGUCAUCAUGGCCCUUACGGCCAGGGCUACACACGUGCUACAAUGGUGCGCACAGAGGGCUGCAAACCCGCGAGGGGGAGCCAAUCUCACAAAACGCAUCGUAGUCCGGAUCGCAGUCUGCAACUCGACUGCGUGAAGUCGGAAUCGCUAGUAAUCGCGAAUCAGAAUGUCGCGGUGAAUACGUUCCCG
rnacentral:rRNA from 13 species